rnacentral:rRNA from 1 species
UACGUAGGGUGCGAGCGUUGUCCGGAAUUAUUGGGCGUAAAGGGCUCGUAGGCGGUUUGUCGCGUCGGGAGUGAAAUCAUCUGGCUUAACUGGGUGCUUGCUUUCGAUACGGGCAGACUAGAGGUAUGCAGGGGAGAACGGAAUUCCUGGUGUAGCGGUGAAAUGCGCAGAUAUCAGGAGGAACACCGGUGGCGAAGGCGGUUCUCUGGGCAGUAACUGACGCUGAGGAGCGAAAGCGUGGGGAGCGAACAGG